GUGGGGAAUAUUGCACAAUGGGGGGAACCCUGAUGCAGCGACGCCGCGUGAGUGAAGAAGUAUUUCGGUAUGUAAAGCUCUAUCAGCAGGGAAGAAAAUGACGGUACCUGACUAAGAAGCCCCGGCUAACUACGUGCCAGCAGCCGCGGUAAUACGUAGGGGGCAAGCGUUAUCCGGAUUUACUGGGUGUAAAGGGAGCGUAGACGGUUAUGCAAGUCUGAAGUGAAAGCCCAAGGCUCAACCAUGGGACUGCUUUGGAAACUGUAAAACUGGAGUGCAGGAGAGGUAAGCGGAAUUCCUAGUGUAGCGGUGAAAUGCGUAGAUAUUAGGAGGAACACCAGUGGCGAAGGCGGCUUACUGGACUGUAACUGACGUUGAGGCUCGAAGGCGUGGGGAGCAAACAGG
rnacentral:rRNA from 1 species